rnacentral:misc_RNA from 1 species
UGGUUCUGGCAUCGAUGAAGAACGCAGCAAAAUGCGAUAAGUAAUGUGAAUUGCAGAAUUCAGUGAAUCAUCGAAUCUUUGAACGCACAUUGCGCCCGCUAGCACUCUAGCGGGCAUGCCUGUCCGAGCGUCAUUUCAACCCUCGAGCCCGUCUGGGCCCGGCGUUGGGGGACGGCGACCGCACCCCCGCGGUGCGCGCCGCCCCCGAAAUCUAGUGGCGGUCUCGCUGCAGCCUCCUCUGCGUAGUAGAAACACCUCGCUCUGGAACGCGGCGCGGCCAUGCCGUUAAACACCCAACUUUUCGUGGUUGACCUCGGAUCAGGUAGGAAUACCCGCUGA